GAUGAACGCUGGCGGCGUGCCUAAUACAUGCAAGUCGAGCGAACGGACGAGAAGCUUGCUUCUCUGAUGUUAGCGGCGGACGGGUGAGUAACACGUGGAUAACCUACCUAUAAGACUGGGAUAACUUCGGGAAACCGGAGCUAAUACCGGAUAAUAUUUUGAACCGCAUGGUUCAAAAGUGAAAGACGGUCUUGCUGUCACUUAUAGAUGGAUCCGCGCUGCAUUAGCUAGUUGGUAAGGUAACGGCUUACCAAGGCAACGAUGCAUAGCCGACCUGAGAGGGUGAUCGGCCACACUGGAACUGAGACACGGUCCAGACUCCUACGGGAGGCAGCAGUAGGGAAUCUUCCGCAAUGGGCGAAAGCCUGACGGAGCAACGCCGCGUGAGUGAUGAAGGUCUUCGGAUCGUAAAACUCUGUUAUUAGGGAAGAACAUAUGUGUAAGUAACUGUGCACAUCUUGACGGUACCUAAUCAGAAAGCCACGGCUAACUACGUGCCAGCAGCCGCGGUAAUACGUAGGUGGCAAGCGUUAUCCGGAAUUAUUGGGCGUAAAGCGCGCGUAGGCGGUUUUUUAAGUCUGAUGUGAAAGCCCACGGCUCAACCGUGGAGGGUCAUUGGAAACUGGAAAACUUGAGUGCAGAAGAGGAAAGUGGAAUUCCAUGUGUAGCGGUGAAAUGCGCAGAGAUAUGGAGGAACACCAGUGGCGAAGGCGACUUUCUGGUCUGUAACUGACGCUGAUGUGCGAAAGCGUGGGGAUCAAACAGGAUUAGAUACCCUGGUAGUCCGCGCCGUAAACGAUGAGUGCUAAGUGUUAGGGGGUUUCCGCCCCUUAGUGCUGCAGCUAACGCAUUAAGCACUCCGCCUGGGGAGUACGACCGCAAGGUCGAAACUCAAAGGAAUUGACGGGGACCCGCACAAGCGGUGGAGCAUGUGGUUUAAUUCGAAGCAACGCGAAGAACCUUACCAAAUCUUGACAUCCUUUGACAACUCUAGAGAUAGAGCCUUCCCCUUCGGGGGACAAAGUGACAGGUGGUGCAUGGUUGUCGUCAGCUCGUGUCGUGAGAUGUUGGGUUAAGUCCCGCAACGAGCGCAACCCUUAAGCUUAGUUGCCAUCAUUAAGUUGGGCACUCUAAGUUGACUGCCGGUGACAAACCGGAGGAAGGUGGGGAUGACGUCAAAUCAUCAUGCCCCUUAUGAUUUGGGCUACACACGUGCUACAAUGGACAAUACAAAGGGCAGCGAAACCGCGAGGUCAAGCAAAUCCCAUAAAGUUGUUCUCAGUUCGGAUUGUAGUCUGCAACUCGACUACAUGAAGCUGGAAUCGCUAGUAAUCGUAGAUCAGCAUGCUACGGUGAAUACGUUCCCGGGUCU
rnacentral:rRNA from 1 species